ensembl:lncRNA
AAACACCAAGCAAAAGACCUGGGGCCCAUGGUUAAAAGGGCGGUCAAAUGUACUGAUUGGACACUCACUCAGGCGCCAAACGUAUGGUACUCACACAGCUGUAAGACGUAAAAAUGGUACACCUGCAUUGACCUGGCUAACGCUUUUUUCUGUCUCCCACCAGCAGAGGAACUUCGUGAUAUUUUUUCUUUCACACAUAGGGGCGACAAUGGCGGCCCCAACGGUGGCCGCCUGCAUCCAAGCUACAAUGACGGUCCUCACCAGACUGGCUGAGAAAGGGUUCAAGGUGUCAAAAGGAAAGCUACAGCUGAAUUCACCAACAGAGUCGGAGAACGGAGGGACCUGCACCCGCUGGACCAGAACCUGCCCCAGGCGGAGUGGGUGUUGCUGAAGGUCAUCAAGCGAAAGUGGUCGGAGCCAAGGUGGACGGGUCCUCAUCAGGUGGUGGAGAGAACGAGUCAUGCGGUCCGCCUGAGGGACAAAGGAGAGACGUGGUACCAUUGGAGCCAGUGUACACCAGCGCAGGAGCCAGGGAGGUCGCUGACGGACCUCAUCCAAACCGGAAAGGAGGAGCUUUCCCCAGCGUGGACGGAAGGAGGACCAACACCAGCCGGACCGGUGCCAGGAGCGGACCACAGGACACAGCAGGACCACGAGCGAGUGAAGGAGACAGAGGACGGCGCCAGGGGAAUAGACUCUUAGGGGAAAGAACUGAAAAAUACUGUAACUAAAGGGGGUAUAGGACACCGAGUGGCUCAUACCACUCGUACCAAGAUGACAGGGUUACAGAGAAAGGUCUGGGGAGAUGAUAGUAGAAUGAAGUAGUAUAUGGGAAUUGGUAGAAUAAUGAUAUGUGUGUUGUGUGUUGAUACAAGUUUCCCAGGUUGGCAUCGGGUCUUCAUUCCCCCAGCGAAGAGGUCAGCGACCCCACCUGAGGACACCUGCUUGAGGAAAUUUGGGGGAUUGAAUUGGACUAUGUCAAGGGGUCGCAUACGAGCAUUCUGGGAUAGAUAAUCCGCUGGAGGAAUGGCUGACCUCGAUGUUCGGCCAGUGGAAAGAGGGCUUGCCAUGAGAGUGAUUUCUACAGCCAUUGAGAAGGCUCCAGGAUCGACACCAGGGAUGCUGAUGCCUCUACUGGAGCAGCAUGACCCGGGAGAACUGGAGCUUGGCGAAUAGGGGUGAUCUCUCUGGGGAGAGAUCAAAAGGGGGAAUUGUAGAUGUAGUGAUUGUAUAAGUUAGUGAACUGUUAUAAGCUGUUGUAACCAAUGUAGAUGUAUUGAUUAUAUAAGUUAGUGAACUGUUAUAAGCUGUUGUAACCAAUGAAACAAAAUAUUAAAUGUCUGUAAUAUGAACCGAAACUGAAGGAGCAAGUAGGAGAAUAGGAAACCCUGUUUAAGCAGUUGCCGGGG